AUAUAUAUGUACCUCAAAUUGUUCCAUAUUAAAUGAACUAGAUAAUUACAUAACAAAAUAAAAAUUAUUAUGGUACUAAUACCAGUAACUCAAAUCUUGAUAUUUAAUGUCAUAUAAUUAAAAAAUUCAACAAGCUCUUAUUAUUGGUGAGUAUGCUAUGCUAUGAUUAUUGUGUUGUAGGUAAAUAGAAAUUCUACAGAAGAAACUAUGAUAUAUAAAUCUUGGCGGAGUCUGUAAAGUCAUUUUCUUUCUCAACUUUCUUUUAACAAGAAAAAUAAAAAUCAAACUCAGAACAUCUUGAAGAUUUUGGAGACUUAGAACCGGCUCUGAUAUCCGUAAUAUUGAAAGGAUCAAUCUAACAUAUAACAAUUCAACCGACUGUCCCUAGAGCAAGUGGCAAAGGGCUUGGUUGUUGGUAUUCGAGACCUAAGUUCGAAUCCUAAUUUUUUUUUUUUGAGAGAUAGGUAGCACGUUAGCCGCUUCGUUUAUUUCAGUUCGAAUCCUAGUUGAUUCACAUUUCCAGCUAAGUUUAUUUCUAAAUAAAAUAAACGAAGCGGGUAGCGUGCUACCUAUCUCUAAAAAUAUAUAUAUAUAUAUAUAUAUAACAAUUCAAAAUUAAAGUAGACUUUUUUUAAUCUUUUUUCUCAACAUUUUUUAACGAUUAGUAUGGAAAUUAAACUUAGAACUUCUUAAAACGGAGGAGGAUUAGAACUGUCUCUAAUAUCCAUAAUAACCAAAAGAUUGAUCAAGUAAAAAAUAAUUCAGAAUUAAUCUUAAUAAUCCCUUAUAGUUUUGCUUAUGUGAGAAUGUGAGAUUUCAAAAUGUAUCAUAUAUAUGUUUUCUAAAGUCAGAGACAUCUUACCCAUAUAGUUUUCUAAGCAUCCACAUAUACAUAAUAUAUAGGUCAAUGAUCGAACCACAUAAAUUUUUAUUUCUUAUGUUUUUGUUGUUCUUGCUUUUGGUUUAUCGUAAGAGUACAUCUUUGUGUUUUGUCGUGGUUAUCGCUUUUUCUUUUUGUUUUUUGUGUACAUGCUCCUUUACAAAACGAGAUUAUUAAGUGAUUAAGUUGCACUUUUAAUAAUUUUCAUCCAUCUGAAGUUGGUGUAACGUGCCAAUUCAAAGCCUUCUAUUUUCCAAUGUUCUUUGUUACGUGCCAAAUUCAAAGCCUUCUAUUUGACAAUGCGAAGAGAAUAAUCUAAACUGGAUCCCAUAAGAAACAAGAAUUCAUUUUUGGAAAGAGAUUGAAAAGGAAUAAGCACAGUGAGAUUCAAGAUCAAAAAACAAAUAAAAAAGAAUGUAAGGACAUGGGGAUCCAUUUAUAAACAUAGUCUCUAUUUACAUAAGCUUGAAUGACAUACGCUUGAGUUCAUAUUGAAAUGAAGCGAGAUUGGAUUUUCUGAAUUACUUAUGACAAAAUUGUCAUAAUGGAAAUGUGAAAUUAUUGAGUAGUCUACUUCCCUGAUGAAUCAUUUUAAAUGAAUUCCAUUGGACCUAGAAAGGAGACAUUGGAAGAAUCUUUUUGGUCUUCCAAUAUCAAUAGGUUGAUUGUUUCGCUCCUGUAUCUUCCAAAAGGGAAAAAGAUUUCUGAGAGUUGUUUCAUGGAUCCGCAAGAGAUUACUUGGGUUCUCCCAAUAAAUAAAAAGUGUAUCAUGCGGAGUUCGCGAUGGUGGAGGAACCGGAUCGGAAAAAAGAGGGAUUUUAGUUGUAAGAUAUCUAAUGAAACCGUAGCUGGAAUUGAGAUCUCAUUCAAAGAGAAAGAUAGCAAAUAUCUGGAGUUUCUUUUUUUAUCCUAUAUGGAUGAUCCGAUCCGCAAGGACCAUGAUUGGGAAUUGUUUGAUCGUCUUUCUCCGAGGAAGAAGCGAAACAUAAUCAACUUGAAUUCGGGACAGCUAUUCGAAAUCUUAGGGAAAGACUUGAUUUGUUAUCUCAUGUCUGCUUUUCGUGAAAAAAGACCAAUUGAAGGGAAGGGUUUCUUCAAACAGCAAGGAGCUGAGGCAACUAUUCAAUCAAAUGAUAUUGAGCAUGUUUCCNUCGAAAAAAACUAAAAUUUUAUUUCUAAGAAUUUCAUAAACCCUAGAUCAUAUUUAACGGUGUGGAUCGUUAAUUUGAACACCGUAAGAUCGAAAACAAGAAGCUCCGGUACUAUAGAUAGUAUAGUAGCCUAAUUCUAUAUAUAUAUAUAUAUAUAUAUAUAUAUAUAGUAGGGCUACUAUACUCUUAUGAGUAUUGGACCCUUCGUACUCAUAAGUUAUUUUCGAUGAUGGAGCUUCCGAAUCGACGAUCCACUCCGUUAAAUAUGAUCUUAGAGUAUUUGAAACUUUUAGAAAAUAAAUUUCGUAAUUUUUCGAAAUCAUAAUAAAGUCCAUUAAGUGAGCAUAAAAUGAUCGGUCAAAAUCGAACGACGUCCUAAAAAUAGAUGAUCGGACCUUCAAUUUAAGAUCGGAGUUAUUAAUCUAUAUCUAGAUAGUGAAUAGAAUUUUUUAUUAAAAAUUUAACCUAUUCCGAUUCUUUUGCACCGUUAAACUAGCAUGCAAGUAUCCCAUACCGGCCGUUAAAAUUUGUCAAUUUUGUGAGCUUUUGAUCGUAAGAUAAAUGAUGUCGAAAAAUUAUGAAAUUUGAUUUCUAGAAAUUUUAAAUGCUCUAGAAAAUAUUUAACGGUAUGCAUCGUCGAUUCGAAACUCUAUCAUCGAAAACGGCUUAUGAGUACGAAAGCGAUCGUACUCAUAAAAGUAUAGUAGCCGGACUCUAUAUGAGUAGGGCUACUAUACUCUUAUAAGUAUUGGGCCCUUCGUAUUUAUAAGUUGUUUUUGAUGAUGGAGCUUCCGAAUCGAUGAUCCGCUCUGUUAAACAUGAUCUAGAGUAUUUGAAAUUUCUAGAAAAUAAAUUUCGUAAUUUUUCGAAAUUACAAUAAAGUUUAUCAAGCGGGUAUAAAAUGAACGGUCAAAAUCUAACGACGUCUCAAAAAUGGAUGAUUAGAUCUUUCAAUUUAAGAUCGGAAUUAUUGAUCUUUAUCUAUAUAGUGAAUAGAAUUUUCUAUCAAAAAUUCAACUGAUUUCAAUUCUUUUAUACCGUUAAACUAGUAAAUAUCUCAUACCGGCCGUUAAAAUGUCGAAAAAUUAUAAAAUUUGAUUUCUAAAUAUUUUAAAUGCUCUAAAUAACGUUUAAUGGUGUGGAUCGUUGAUUCGGAAGCUCUAUCAUCGAAAAUAACUUAUAAGUACGAGAGCAAUCGUACUCAUAAAAGUAUGGUAGUCGAACUCUAUAUAUAAAUAACGUUUUCUCAAAAAAGCAAACGAGCUCCGUUACCAUUCAUUUAUUUUCGAUGAUGGAGCCUCCAAAUCGACGAUUGACACCGUUAAAAAUAACCUAUACCACUUGAAGUAUCUAGAAAUCAAAUUUCAUACUUUUUCCAGAAAAGCAUCAAAUUUGAUUUCUAGAUACUUCAAGUGGUUUAGAUUAUUUUUAACAGGACCAAUCGUCGAUUUGGAGACUCGAACAUUAAAAAUAAAUGGGUAGCAACGGAGUACGUCCGUUUGCUGCCGAUAUUAUUCCAGCUCAACUCUCUCUCUCUCUCUCUCUCUCUUUAUAUAUAUAUAUAUAUAUUAGUCUUUUAAGCUUAAUUAGCAUGUCAAAAUUUAAUCGGACUUUGAGGUUGAUUAGUCAAUAUCAAAUUCGAAAGCCUUCUCUUUUAAGCUUCAUUAGCGAUUCAAAAUUUAAUUGGACUUUGAGCUUGAUUAGUCAAAAUUUAAGUACUAACAACAGAGAUAAUAAAGAGUAAUUAAAGUUAAACAUGUCGACUAUGCAACUACAUAUAUGUAUCGAUGCAUAUUUGCAGUUGUUUCUUUCAAAUUUGAUGGAUGUUCUUAUUCUAAAACUCGAUUUGUUAGAAAAUAGUACAGAAAUAAUCUUAGCUUGCUAUUGUGAUGCAUAACUAUACAAUGUAUGGCAUCAAUGAUUUGCGAAGCAAGGAGAAUUAAUUAAUCAACAUAAAAAUACGACACCACAAAUCCAAAUUAAUCAAAUUUUUUUUCUUCUUACGAAAAUUUCGUUACGUAAAAGAGUUAGGGUAAUUGUUCAUUAUGAAUAAUUUUAUCAUGAGAACUUUGAGGUUCUUCAAGAAUAUUAAGAAAGUUAAAUCAUUGUGAAAUUAAUUAUUCAUUUUGCAAGCGGUUUAAUUUUACAAAUGUAGAAGCAAAUAUAUUUCCAAACUUUUUAGGGUUUGUUGUUAUUAUUGUUAGGGAAAACUUCAAGUACCACCCUUGUGGUUUCUCACUUUUUCAUUUUUGUACCCUGUGAUUUUUUUUUUGUUAUUUCCUCCACUAUUUUUUUUUUCAUUAAAUUAGUGACAAAGUUAAAACUUAGGGGUAUUAAAGUGAAUAUUUGAUAAACUAUAUGUGGGAUAUCUGAAGUUUUUUUAUGUGAUUUAAUAAAAAAUUAACAGAGGGCUGACAAAAUAAAUAAAUAAAUAAAAUCAUAGAGUACUAAAUUGAUACACUUUAAAUUGUAGGGUACUAAAAUAAGAAAAUAUAAAACCACAAGUGUGGUAUUUAAAGGUUUUCCUUGUUAUUAUUACAACAUAUGCAUGUUGUCCUUUUAUCCCAAGUUGAUUUUUGAGCAAAAAAGAUAAAACAAAAAUGAGCAUCAACUAAUUUUUUUUCACACACACAUGCAAUCAUAAUUUCGAACAUUUGAAGGGUUUAAAAAUCGAAUUUCAUAUUUUUAAAAAACUAUUAGCUAAUGCAUUAAAGUACUACCAAAUAAAUAGUUAAAAAAACAAGAAGCGUUGCGAAAAUAGAUCAAUAUUAGUGCUUCUCAAUAUAAGAUUGGAGUUGUCAAACAAAAUUAAAAUAGUGCAUAAGUAACUUUUCUAUCCAACAUAUUAUAUUUGGAUUGUUAUAUACUGUUAAACAAGCAAAAACUUAUAUUGUCAAUAAAAAAUUAAAAAUUAUCACAUUUGUUUAGUAGGUAUUUUUAAUACUCUAACUAAAUCAUGUUCAACAAUAUCAACAGUUAUUCAAACUGUUCGUCAUGUGAAAGUGUCGCGAAUCUAUAUUAAGUUCAAGAUAAUAUACCAAAAAUUUGUACGUCAUUUUUGUACUGAAGAAAAAAGCGAAAAUUUGUAGGCAGGAUUGCAUCAAAAUGUGGAGAAUAUUCAAUUAAUGUUUUAUUUUUCUAAAGUCAUGUGAGAAAAAGACACAAAUAUUAAUUGCUCUACCUGAGUAAUUGUUACAAUAAAAUUCUUCUUAUUGGCUCUUUAAUUUCAAAGGGCACAGCUAAUAUUCAAAUUUAGAUUAAUUAGUCACCUUAAUUUUGACUGCAUAUAAAACAUGCAUCAAGGUACAUGUAUGAAGAAUUUUGAUUUGUUGUUACCUACGUACGAUCACAUAUUUUAUACGCACAAAUCUUUAAACUUUGUGCAAGGAGUUGAACCCCACUUUUUGAGAUAUAAUUUUGGCUAAAUCGUGAAAAACUCUUUGCCAAUGAAGAUGUUAUAUAUAUUCAGUGGAGUAGGAAUCACGUAAACUAAAUAAUAUAUAUAGGUUAGGGCUACCGUACUUUUACGAUGCAUUUGGUGCGAAUUAUUCUGACAGAAUUACAGACAAUUCUGCCAUCAUUACUAUAUUUGGUUCAUUCGGUAUGUAAUCAGGUCAUUAACGUAACAUUACAAAUGAUGCAAAAUUAUAUUGAAAAUAUUACCGAGAAGGAGUGUGUAUCUUGAAUUAUUGAAAGCGGUUAAUCUUGUAUGUUAUAUAAAAUUACAAGUUUACACCUCUAACUACCGAAAUCUUUUCAAUAUGUCAUUUUAAAAAUUUUAAUUUUAAAUUUUAAAUUUUAAAUUUUAAAUUUAAAUUUUUAAUUUUUAAUUUAUAAAUUUUAUAUUUAUAUUUUAAAUUAAAUAUUAAAUUUUAUAUUUCUAUUCAAAUUUAAAAUUUCAUAUUUAAACAUUUUAAAUUUUAAAUUAUUUAAAAUAAAAUUUAAUAAAAAAAUUAUUUAUAAAUAGUUAAAAAAAAUUGUCAAAUAUAAGGUAAUUUUGAAAUAGACUAUACAUGCAUGUGUCCUCUUAUCCCAAGUUGAUUGUUGAGCAAAAACGAUAAAACAAAAAUGAGCAUCAACUAUUUUUUUUUUUUUUUGAGAGAUAGGUUAGUACGCUUUGAUUUAUUUAAUUAGAAAUAAACUUAGACUAGAAAUAUGAAUCAACUAAAAUUGAAUUUUGGGACCUCAAGGUAUCAACCUCAAGCCCUUUGCUACUUGAUUCAUAGAGAGACAGUCAGUAGCAUAAACUAAUAUUAGUUUUACACACACAAUCAUAAUUUAGAACAUAUUGAAAGUGUUAGAAAUUAAAUUUUAUAUUUUUAAAAAAUAUUAGCUAAUGGCAUUAACAGGUACGACAAAAAUAAAUAGCUUGAAACAAGAAGCGUGCGAAAAUAGAAUCAAAUAUUAGAUGCCUUACGUCAUAUAAAUUGGAGAUUGCCAAACAAAAUUAAAAAUAGUGGCAAAAAAGUCGUUUAUAAAAAAUAAAACGACAAUAUAUUUGGAUUAGUUUUAUAUUGUUAACAAGCAAACUUAUAUGCUCAAAAAAAUUAAAAAGUAAUCAACAUUGCUUAGUAGGGUCAUGUUCAAAAUCUCUAAAAUUAUGUUCAACAAUAUCAAUAAAUCAUUCAAACUGUUCGCGCAGUGAAAGUAGUAUGCCCCCGACCCCCGCCCCCCCCCCGGCCUCCCGCCCCGGCCCCACAGCGCCCUAUAUAAGUUCAAAUAAUAUACCAAAAUUUGACCUCAUUUUUGUACUGAAGAAAAAGCCAAAAAAUUUGUUGGCAGGAUUGCAUCAAAAUGUGUAGAAUAUUCAAUGUUUUAUUUUUCUAAAGUCAUGUGAGAAAAAGACACAAAUAUUAAUUGCUCUACCUGAAUAAUUGUUAACUAAUGAAUACCCAAUAAAAUUCUUCUUAUUGGCUUUUUAAUUUGAAAGGGCACAGCUAAUAUUCAAAUUUAGAUUAAUUAGUCGCCUAAUUUUGACUGCAUAUAAACAUGCAUCAAGUGCAUGUAUAGAAGAAUUUUUGAUUUUUGUUACUAGGAGUGUCAACCAUCCGAACACGAGCGAGCUGGAGCCUCUACGUGUUCGGCUCGUUUGAAAACGAGCCUAAUACGAGCUGGCUCGUUAAAUAUCAAGCCAAAAUAUUUAUCUUGUGUUCGGCUCGUUUGUUAACGAGCCGAACACGAGCUGCUAACGAAUAAUAAAUUAAAAGUGAUUAUAUUAUAUAUAUAUAUAUAUAUAUAAUAUAUAUAUAUAUAUAUAUAUAUAUAUAUAUAUAUAUUAAAUUUAUAUUAAUAGAAUCUUACCCAUUAUAUUUUGAUUAAAUGGUUGAAACUUUACAUAUAAAUGUGUUUUUUUUAUAAUUGAAUUCGACUUUAUAUUUUUAUUUUGCUAAAAAUAAAUUAGUAAAAAUUUAUAUUAUAUAUAUAAUUAUUUAUUUAUAUAUAAAAUAAAUAAACUAAAUGAAUUAUAUAAAUAUAAAAUAUAUGUAUUCGAACUGUUAUCGAGCCAGACACGAGCGAGCUGAUCCCAGCUCGUGUUCGACUCGUUUAUUAAACGAGCUGAAAAAAUUUAGCUCGUGUACUUUGGCUCGUUUACAAAACGAACGAUUCGAUUUUGAGUUUAUUUUGAGCCGAACACAAAUUGGCUCGUGAACAGCUAGCUGGAUUGCCACCCCUAAUUGUUACGUACGUAUGAUCACAUAUUUUAUACACAUAAAUCUUUAAAAUUUGUGCAAGGAGUUGGAUCCCACUAUUUGAGAUUUAAUUUUGGCUAAAUGGUGAAAAACUCUUUGCGAAUGAAGAUAUUAUAUAUAUUCAGUGGAGUAAGAAUCACGUACGUAAACUAAAUAAAUUAUCAAUAAACUAUCAAUUUUGAUAGUUCUGAUAAGCGAGGGAAUCUCUUUUUAUUUAGUUUUAGCUCUAUUAUAUAAAAUUAUAAUCUACGCGACAUAUAUACAAACAAUUUCAGUGAUGUUUAACAUCUGAAUAUAACAAUCUCACACAUUUUUGAAUUUCGACCUAUUUGAGACAAAAAAAAAUGCAGGUCCAAAGUUAAUAUAAUACUUUUUUCUUAAAUUUCACCUACUUACAUAGUAUUUAAAUCUAUACAUGUUUAAAUUUUAUACGUUCUCGAUUUAUAACUUUAGCGGCGAAAAUAACGAAAGAGAAAUGAAGCAAUAUUACCAGGUAUUUUAUUCACAGCAUUGUUAAAGGAAAAGGGGAGAAACGAGUAAAUAAAAAAUAACAUGGAUUUGGUGAUUAAUUUCAUUGCUUUUUUUUUAAAAAAAAAUUCUUGUAGUAGAGAAUUCCACAAGUUCUAAAUAUCCAAAUUGUAUCUUACGUACUCUCUUUUUUCUUGUACCCUUUUCUCUUCUUAUUCUAAAAAAAAAACAUUAAUUUAAUUAUCUAGAUUAAAAAGAUCAUUGUAAUUGACACCAUUCAAACAUAUCAAUAAUUAAUUGACUCACAUGUUACACAUGUCACUCUCAUUUGGUGAAAUAAAAGGUAUAUAUUAAAUAUCAGCUAAAGUGAAAGAUCUAUAUAAUACAAUAAAUUAAACAAAAAUUAACGGCUCAGAUUGUGUCUUUGUAUUUAAUUAUAUAUAGUAGGCAUGCUAUCGUUUUCUCCCUUUCACACAUUUUGUUACACAUAUACGUUUAAAAAAAAGAUCCAAAGUAAAAGUCUCCUCUCCAUAAGCUUGUCAACCAAGCAUUACAUGUAAAAAAAAAUUUAUACAUAUAUAUGUAAAAUAAUCAUACCCCUCAAAAGAAAAAAGAAAAAUAAUUAAAUAUAUUUUUAAAGUCCUUUUUUUCUUAAACUCCUCUUUUUCUGAUUUUAACCCUUGCAUUGUUUAAUAUGGAGCAUGUAUAAAAAUCCGAGGGACGAAAACAGAAGCGAUAAAUUUACUGCUUUCAAAAUUCAGAUCUUUAACAAGGAUUUUAAAAAAAAAAAUGUGAUUCUCGAAACUUUAGAGAGAGAUAGAUAAAUAAAUGGGCAAAAAUGGCAUUUAAUAAUAUAACAUAAAUAAAUUUCCCACCUUUUUGGGCCAAAUUAUUGACCUUGAACAGUAUAUAUUACAUUCAUAACGUGAAGCCGUGUUGGUUUAGUUUAUUAUUCCUUGGUUGCUUCCGCGUGCUCAGCACCCAACCCGGAAUAAGCGCUUCUUGAAUCAACGAGCUUAUAAUUAAGAGGCAAAACUUCAAAUACUAUUCAGAUAGUUUCAUACUUUCUCAUUUUAAUACUUUAUAAUUUAAAGUAUAUUAAUUUAGUAUCCUAUAAUUUUUUUUUAUUUUUUUAUUAUCGAUUUCACCAACUUUUUUUGUUAAAUCAGUGACAAAAUUAAAACUAAAAGAUAGUAAAGUAAAUAUUCAAUAAAACUAUAUGAGAUAUCUGAAAUUUUUUGUGUAUAAUUUAAUAAAAUAUUAAAAAAAAACUGACGAAAAGAUAAAAAUAAAAUUACAGAACAUUAACUUGACAUAUUUUAAAUCACAAAAUAAUAAAGUGAGAAAAUGCGAAAUGACUAGAAUGAUAUUUAAAGUUUAUUCUAAUUAAGAUAUAGUAGCGGCCGCAUGCUUUUACCAAAACGGCUUGGCUCAGAAGCGAUUCAACGUACGGCUUUUUGGGCCCCUCGUUUUGAAGAGAUCCAACGUUUGUGUGUUCGAGCUGCCUCUGCAGGUAUGUUGAAUGUGAAGUGGACUCUAGGUAGGGACGCAAACGGGGCGGAUCCGGAGAUGCGAGGGUACUCCACCUCCCUUGUUAUUUUUUUGUUAGGUUGGAAUUGAUUCAGAACGAGUUGAUUUUUAUCAUAUUUAUUGUUCUAACUUAUAGCUUUAUUCAGGGCCGAACGGAGCGGGAGUAUUGUAAAGCGAAUUUUGAUAAAUUGGGAUUGAUCAAACGAGAAAGAGAUCUUCCACUUUUUACUCUAUUUGUUUAAUGAAUCAGAAAAGAUUUGAAAGUGGACUUUUUUUCAUACUGUUGGUCGCUAUUUACUGUUUUAUACAGGACGGAUGCAAAUUGGAGCUCCAUCAAUCUAAAUCCAUUUCGAUCCCUAGCUUGGUCUCGUACAAAUCAUUAAUUUUUCUUGCUGCUCGAAUAGAAAACUAUAGAGAAAUUAAUGACGUGUUUGAUUCGCUUCUUUUUCAUCCUGAAAUCGGAAUCGAAAUGGGUGAAUUCGUUUGUGGAUGUUUGGUACGCGGGAGUCCCAUUCCGAUUCCGAUUUCCGAGUGGAAUGGGAAUCCCCUAAUCACCUCUUUUUUCAAUCCAGCCUAGGAGGCGGGAUUGAAAGUUGAAUCCGGAUGGAAUGAAUAUUUAUUCGGAUUAAAUUUAUUUUUUCAAAUUUUUUAAUUAAAAUAUGAGUUAGAAUUUAAAAAUUAAAUAUAAUAUUUUAAAUUUUAAUUUAAACUUAAAUUAAAAAUUAAAAUUUAAUCAAAUAUUUUGAAUCUAACUUAUAAUUUGAAUUUAAAUUAAAUUUUAAUUUAUAUAAAAUUUUAUUCAAAUUUUAUUUCAAACUUAAAUUAAUUUAUGGAUUCAAAUUAAAAUUUAAAUUGUAAUUUUAAAUUUGAAUUUGAAUAAAUCAAAAUUUAGUUUCAUAUUUUGAAUUAUCCACUCAACUUCAAAGUUUAAUUUUUUUAAAAAAACAUAGAUUUAAAAUUUUGACAUUAUUUUAAAAUUUUGAUGUAAUUUUUUAAUUUUUAAUAUUUAAUUUGAAUUUAAAUUAAUAUAUUAUAAAGAUAAUGUUAAUAUACUAAUUUGAUUACGUUUUUUAUAUCCACAUGAACCAAACACCGAUAAUGGAAAUGAUUUAUUUCGAUUCCGAUUCAGGUGAUGAACCAAACAAAAUUAGGUAAUGAGUCAUUCCGAUUCCGAUUCCAGUUUAUUUUGAUUCCGAUUUCGAUUCCGACUCCGACUUCGAACCAAACACGCUCUAAAGGUUGAGUUAUUUAUAGACCGGGUCGUGGGUCCAUGAGGUCAAGAAUUCGCUUCCUACUUGAUGCUUGCACCAAGUAAAGCACGUGUCUCUGACUUUCUGAGUCAAAAUUUGUAUAUCUACUGAGAGGGUGUUUCGAGGAAGGGUUCAACAUGCGAACUGCGAAAAAAAAAAAAAAAAAACAUAAAUUAAUUAAGGAUAAAGUAAACAACAACUAUCUUGAACAACUGGCUAUUAAUUAAAAAGCUUUUCAAAAGCUGUUUGAACCCAUGCUAUUAGGUUUUACUCAAAAGUGGUUUGGGUCCCCCAUUUCCUGCCAAAAAAAAAGGAAAAAAAGAAAAAAAAAAAGAAGAAAAAGAGAGAGAGAGAGAGAGAGAGAGAAAGAGAGAGAAGAGGAGCUAAUGGAUUUUCAAAUUGUACUUUGUUGUCUUCUUUGGUUCUUAAGCUUAGCAAAUGAUAAAAAUAUAUGAAUCUUAAAAUAAUAAUAAUAAUAAUAAUAAUAAUAAGCUUACUUAUGCCAUGACUUGUUUUGAGAGAGCUUCUUAAUUUGACAAAUAUAAUUUUGUUACGCAAAAGAUGGAUCUGGUGUGCACGAUAGAGAUCAUUUGGAUCACGGCGACAUCUAUCUAUUACUUUCUAUUAAUUCCCAAUAACAAAAGCUGAGGUGGCAUGAUCUCUUUUUUUGAGAUUUUUUUCUAAUUUUUUUUUAUUUUGAUAGUUAUUGUUGCAUCUAUUACUUUCUAUUAAUCCCCAAUAACAAAAGCUGAGGUGGCAUGACCUCCUUUUUUUAGAUUUUUUUCUGAUUUUUUUUUAAAUUUUGAUAGUUAUUGUUGCAUUUCAAAUUCCACAUAACCCUCUACAUUUCAUACUAGCCGUUUCUAUUAGCAAUUAAUUUUUCUAAAUUAGAAAAUGGUUCCUCAUAAUUGCAAUUGAUAAAUUAUUAUAAAGUGUGAUAAUUAAUUGUCAAAUUAUAUCAUCUAUUACUUUCUAUUAAUCCCCAAUAAUAAAAGCUGAGGUGGCAUGACCUCCUUUUUUGAGAUUUUUUUCUGAUUUUUUUUUUUAUUUUGAUAGUUAUUGUUGUAUUUCAAAUUCCACACAACCCUCUACAUCUAUUACUUUCUAUUAAUCCCCAAUAACAAAAGCUGAGGUGGCAUGAUCUCCUUUUUUGAGAUUUUUUUCUGAUUUUUUUUUAUUUUGAUAGUUAUUGUUGUAUUUCAAAUUCCACAUAACCCUCUACAUCUAUUACUUUCUAUUAAUCCCCAAUAAAAAAAGCUGAGGUGGCAUGACCUCCUUUUUUUGAGAUUUUUUUCUGAUUUUUUUUUUUUUUUGAUAGUUAUUGUUGCAUUUCAAAUUCCACAUAACCCUCUACAUUUCAUACUAGCCGUUUCUAUUAGCAAUUAAUUUUUCUAAAUUAGAAAAUGGUUCCUCAUAAUUGCAAUUGAUAAAUUAUUAUAAAGUGUGAUAAUUAAUUGUCAAAUUAUAUCAAAAAAUAUGGUCCAUCUUUCUUGCUUCAUAGAUGUUGUCAUUUCUUACCGAGAAAAACCUUUCCAACUUACCAUAUUUUUUCUCAUUAAAUUUUACAAAUCAAUUUAUUAUUUCUUACUAAUUAAUGAUCCACUUUUUUUUUUCUAAAACUACAUCUUAUUUAGUAACUAUCACGAAAUAUUAAUUAUAUUAUUUAUAUUUUUAAAAUUUCGUUCAUCCUUCAAAAUAUUUCAAGUUAUAUAUACAGUAACUCAUUUGAUUCUAUAAUUUUUCUCUCACCCUCUCUCCGUUAGUUUUGAAGGAGAUGAGAGUGAGUAAAGCCUGGAAAAGAGCAGGUCUGAUUGUUAUCAUAUAUAUUUUAAAAUUUUAAUUUUUAUUAUUAUUUUUUAUCUUAAAAAAUUUAAAAUUUUAUUUCUAUUAUCUAUCGGCCGCAUCGCGCGGGUCUGUAUACUAGUAAAAAUUUAUACCACCAAAUUUAAAAUAAUAUAUUUUAAACCACAUGGUAGUAAAACAAAAAAGUGCAAAAUUAUAGUAAUUAAUUAAGAGACCCGCGCGAUGCUGUGGGUAGUUAUUUUAAAAUUUAAUUUUGAAAAUUAGUUAUAAAACUAGGCUGGAAUACUAUCAAUAACACCAAACUAUUGGUGCUAUUGAUUUUUUAGUCCUUGGAUUGAGAAAUGGGUGGUUAGGAUGAUGUGGGCCCUCUAGGGUUGAGUGAGUGGUUGGUUGAAUAGUAUAAUCUAACGGAUAAAAAUAAUCAAAGAUUUAAAUUAACUGUGGAAAAGCACUCGAUAGCACCAAUUCUUGUGAUAUCGAUAGUACCCAGCGGACUCUCUCUCUCUCUCUCUCAUUUGCAGACAGUAGACCGGAGUCCAUCGCCACAUCUCUCAGUCUCUCUCUCUCUCAUCUCUCUCUCUCCCUCUCUCUCCCCCCUGCUUCAGGUUUCAGACUCCGUGUCUAAGGGCAAGCGCCGGCCCUCAGAUUCUCUCUCUCUCUCUCUCUCUCUCUAUAAUAUAUAUAGAGUGGGCUGGUAUGCUUAUGAAAGCACGUGAGCCCUCCGUGUUCUAUAGUUGUUUUCAAUAUUCGGACUUUCGAAUCGACGAUCGCUCCGUUAGAGUUGAUCUAGAGUAUUUGUAUACUAAAAAAUAAAUUUGCGAUUUUUCGAUAUCAUUUGCCUAGUGAUCGAAGGGCUCAAAUCAAUAAUUUUAAUGGCCUGGUGAGCCGUUGCAAGUUUAACGGUGUAGAAAUAUCAAAUCAUAGGAAAUUUUGAUAGAAAAUUCUUUAUACAUAUAAAACAAGAUCAAUAACUUGAUCUAAAAAUUUUAAUGUCAUAUCAUCAUAUUUGUAAGAUUUUUAUUUUCAACCCGUUGAUUUUGAGCCACUUCGAUCACUAGGCAAAUGAUAUCGAAAAAUCGAAAAUUUAUUUUUUAGAUACUUCAAAUACUCUAGAUCAAGUCUAACAGAGCCGAUCGUCCGAUUCGAAAGUCCAAGAACCAUUGAAAACAAAGUAAAGCGCGGAGCCCUCCGUGCUUCCAUACAAUCCUACCGCACUCUAUAUAUAGAAUAGAGGAGGUCCACGUUGAACUCCCUCUGACCCUGAAAACCCUCAUAUGAGCCCGCUGUUUUUCCGGUCGCGCAAGAACGCUGCGCGCCGCCGUGCACCCACACGCCGCGCCGCGCCCGCCAUGCCGGCGGCCCACCGCCGUUGCCGUGUGCGCCCGCGCCCGCGCUGCCGCAGUCCCACUGCCAGCUGACGAGACUGCCCCACGUCAUACCGCAUGCCGCGCGCCCGCACCUCCUUAGGAGCGGCCUCCGCGUCGCCCGCAGUCACGCCAGCAGCGCCGGACCCCCUCGCAGCCCAGCGCCACGCCUGCGCGCGCCCGCUCCCACUUCGCGGCUCCCUCGCGCACAGCGCCCGACCACACGCAUGCCCGCCUGCGCACACUCGCCACCCCCCACGGCCCCAGCUCGCGCCGCGCCCACUCCCGCUCGCAGCUCCGCCCAUGCGCCGUGCCCUCGCCCGUGCCUCGACCUCCUCGCGACACGUGUGCAGUUAUUGAGAAAUAAUAUAUAGUUAUAAAUUAUAGAUUAUAGAUUAUAGAUAGAUAGUAUUUGCAGUUUAUGGUCAAUACUAAGAGCCGAAAUGGGACCAUGUUUUGUUUUGAUUCAUCCGCUUACUUAGAAAUGUUCAUAUUCCGCGUAUUUUUUAACAUAAAUUAUUAUUGUAACGUGAAGGCCCACCAUACAUUGUUUUUACCUCACUAACCAUCACCUCAAUUAUUAUAUCUAGAAAUUAAGGACGAAAAGAAGAAUAUUUUAUUUUUGUCCUUACAAAGUAGUUAAAUUUUUUACUUAACACAUAAGUUUCUGCUAAAUUAUAUGAAAUAAUUAUUGUUUUUUAAAAACCUAACUUAGUGAAGAGCAAUACCUCACAAAGAAAUAAACUUAGCUGGAAAUAUGAAUCAAUUAGAAUUCGAACUUGGUCUCGGGCACCAACACCAAGCCCUUUUGCCACUUGCGUCAAUGUUAAAUAAUAUAAAAUAAUUUUUGUUCUAAAAAUAAUUUAAACUAGUAGAGAAUGAUAUUUUUAUAUUUUUAACGAUUCCAUUCAACCUUUAAAUAAUACUACAGAUAUUUAAAUCCUACAAUUUAUCUGUUUUAGGGUUUACGGUCAAGCAUUUAAAUUCCCCAUGUUAAGUUUAGUAGGAUUAGUUGGCCUCUUAGACUAACAGAAUUGUUUUCUAUUUUUUUCUUGUUGAAGUCAUUGAAGGAUUUUUUUUUUUUUUUUUCUCAUUGUCGUUUUGAAGUUUUUUUCGUAGGCUAUGUACACAUACAUUAUGGGGACUCGAUUGGGCUCUUAAGUCACCACCAAAACCAAGCUAUGAAUUAGCCACUUAAUUUUUAUUAUUUUUUUUGUACUAUAUUGUAGUCCUUUCAUAAAAUAUAUACUUCUCUCCUCUCCAAUAAAUAAUUUAGCGUAAAUAUUAUUUUCAACAAUUAAUAUUAAAGCUCGGAUGAGACGGAGUCAAACAUAACCAUAUUAUAACAAAGUAGGGCGGUGAAUCAAAGUAAAUAUUGCUUUUAAUAAUUAAUAUUAGAAUGAAUAAUAUAGUUAAAUUAUGUGACAUGAACAUUUUGUUUAGUUUAUUCUUUUAAUUAAUUUCAAAAAUUUAUGUGUAUGACUGAUAAUCAGUGUGAUCAAAUAUUUAGAAUUGAAUGUUAUAUUCAGCUUUCCAAUCAGUUUUUUGAAUGAGAUAAAUCAUCAGAUAACUAAAAUAUUGUAUCCUCUAAAAUUAUAGAUAACUAGACUUUUAAACGAGUGAAAAUCAAACUCCUUAUAAUUAUACUAAGAAAUUUUUAUAGGGAAUAAGUUAUCCUUGAAUAAUCUAUUUUGAUAUCCAAACAAGACUUAAAAGCUUAAUUUACAAAAUUAGUAUUUUAAAUAUUUACAUUAAAUAGCAGUGACCUAGUGUUUUACUUGAAUUUAACUUAGUAUUUACUUUGUGUAUGUGUUUGAGAGAGAGAGAGAGAGAGAGAGAGAGAGAGAGAGAGAGAGAGAGAGGCUCUUCAGUAGAAUCAAUGUUUUGAAAACCAACUUGAUCCCUCUACCGAUGCAACAAAACAGACUCCUGCAAAUGGCGGUUGACUUCCAACCAGCUAUUUUCUGUCAAAUCUCUCUACCGAUUUAUCACAAUUGCGGGACAAAUAAACCCGAUAAACGGCGAUAUCUGGAAGUUGAAAAUUCCACUCAAAGUCAAAGUCUUUACCUGGCUGCUGCUCCGGAAAAGACUACCCACAGCCGACAGACUGUCCAAACGGGGCAUAGCUGUUGAUCAAUACUGUGUCAUCUGUGUUGUGCUAACGGAGAGCUGCGACCAUCUUUUCUGCAACUGCGUCUUUGUUAGAUACCUCCUCCUCAUUGCAGGCGGGUGGAACACACCUGGCGCUAUACCUGGCGGCACUCCUGGUGACGUUCGCAGCCUCUGGACAACUACUGCCACCACUUGUGUCGAUAUGACGAGAGCAAAAGGACUUACGCUACUAGCAGCAAUCUGGUGGGUGGUUUGGAGGGAUAGAAACAACUCUGUGUUCCAGGCUUUCCCGACCAAUGCGAGCCGGUCACUAGAACGGGUCAACCUCCUGACGAACAGCUGGGACACGCUGUGCUAACGGGUCGCUAGCUUUCUUGUCUCCCUACCCCCCUCUUGUUUUUUGUUUUUUCAUUCUUGCUCUAUUUUUUAUUUUUUCCUCGCCCUAUCUUCGGAGGCCUUAGCUGCUUCCAUCAUGUAUGCUCAGUUCAUUUUAUUUAAUGAAUGAAGCAGUUAGCUUGCUACUUUUUCCUCAAAAAAAAAGAAAACCAACUUGAUCAAACAGUAGAACCAAGUCUAUGGAAUUGGAUCUAUCAUUAUGUAAUUUUCACAAUAAAUUAAAAUUUAGGAUGAGGUUUGAAGCAGCUGUAUUUAAAUAUGUUAAAUGAAUCAAGCUGAACACUUUGCGCAAAUCAUCUUGGUUCAUUAAAUGUACUUUAAUUGCUUCCUCCAACCAAGUGUAAGGGUUAAUUAAAUUAAAUUGGAUGGAUGUCACACCACUCCACAAAAAGUUAAAGCAUUGAACGCCUCUUAGUUGGUUAGGUCAUCUCUAUUAUACUAUUGCUGAGAGUGGGUGGUAUUGGAUCUCUGGCGCUAAUCAUUAAUUUACAAGAAUUUACAUUUUAAUUAAAAUAUAUAGAUACAGCGCACACAAGUUUCGAUUAUAAUUUGUUCCAACACAUGAUUGGAUGCUCGUCUUGCUAAGCCAAUAGGUGGUAGCUCCCAUUUAUGCAAUGUAAUUUGAGAAUAAAUUUUGCUUUAAUAUCUUAUUUAAUUUGGUCGGAUAUACUAAAAAAGUAUUGCAGUUAUAAAUAAUUUAUUUAGUUACAAGUAGUUGAGAAUUAUAUUUAUAAAUUUUAUAACUUUAUAUAUGGGAUUGUGAGAUUAUUCUCAAUAUAGAUAAAAGAAAUAUUUUUCUACUUAAAAAGUGAUUAGAUAGGUUAACUUUUUUUUAUUAUUUAAAAAAUUGCUCUCUCCAACUGUUGCUAUUUGAACUAUAGGUAAUUUUGGUAUAAUUUCAACUACUGUAGAUGAUACUCCUUUAAAAAAAAUUAUUUUCUAUUUUAAAAGGUGAUUAGAAAGGUUAGUUUAUUUUUUGUUUAAAAUUGCUUAUUUUAACUACUGAUAACCGUGAACAAUUUUGAUGCAGUUUUGACUAUUGUUGUUGAGCAUCUUUGUGCAAUUUCAAUUACAAUAGUUGAAUUCAAAUGGAUUAAAUGAAACAUCGUAUUUGAAUUUACAACUGUAGUGCGGUUACAACUACCUACAACCAAGCAGUUGCUAAGCGGAACAUAUGCGAGAGUAUGGCUUGCGGUCAUCUUAAAAUAAACAUAUCUAAGCCAGAGCUAGGCUUUUUAUCUGAAAGAUAGAAUCCAUCUCGAGUAUAUAUCAACAUUUCAAUGACCAGCCAAAAAAAAAUUUCUAGCAAAUGAGGUGGAUUAUGCGCAAUCGGUCCAAUUUUCGCAAGUUGGACAAAGACUCAAAAUCAACGGCUCAAAAAAAAAACUGCUCUAAGCCCUAUAGCCCUUUUGAUGAUUCUGGGAGUAUGUAUUAUGCAUGGUCCACCAAUUCGCACAUAUUCGAGUAAGAUACAAGUUUUACGGUCUCAUUAAGAAAAGAAGUAUAUCUCUAUAUACUUUAUUUCUAACUCCUUUUGGGCGAGAGCCCUUGAUACUUUCCAGAUCCGAAUCAACAAUAACACUCUUUACUAAUUCUCCAAUAAUAAUAAAUUGGGAAGUACAUAUUUUCAGAAAAGAAAAAGAAACACCUACGUCGUACAACAAUCUAAAUUUAUCUACAAUUUUUGGGCCUGAUCUGGCCCAAAUAGUGUCACACACUUUCAAAAUUCGGCCCAAUCAAGAAGUUUGGGCCGGGCCGGGUUGGGCCGAUCGGGCCCUUUGAUAUCUUUUUUCUUUUUUAAAUUUUUUUCAAAAUUAUUCUCCUACGACUAUGAAAAUUUGGAUUAAAAUUGUACAAUCUAGUAACUUUUCUUUUCCCCAAUUGACCAGUAACUUUUAUUUGGUGUAAAUAAUUCACUAGUUUUCUGAAACAACGUGUCCUAUAUAGUUUGAUUUGGCGCAAAAAUUCCCAGGCUCAUUUUACCAAAUCAAUUUUUUUGUAAUAGUUAAUUUUUUUUUUGCACCAUGGCGACCUUUGCAGGCCAAACUGCAAGGAGAGUUAAAAAAAAAAAGGAAAAAAGGUAAGUAGGCUUUUUUUUUUUCCAACCAAAUUAACUUGGUGGAUUAAAGUGCAAUUACACAAAAAUUAACCAGUUCCUAAAUAAUGGCCACAAAACGCCACAUAAGAUGCAAUAGGCCUAAUCCGAAGUUGUAUGGAGUCUAUUUGCGCGUGAAUCACUGGAGAUCUUUUGACUGCAUAACAGCAUAAGCCUCCACUAGCGAACCAUUACAGCUAUAAAAGGUUGUCGGUGAUGCCUAUAAACCCACUUAGGCUUAGUUUGGCAUUGAAGCCUAUCCGACACUAUUAGAUAAAAUAAAGUUGGGACAAAAAUAUAUAGAAAUAUACUUAUGCAUUUUUCGGUGAAAUCGCAGAAAGUAUAUCACAACCGACUCAUCAUAAUAUUCAUUUUAUGAUAUACAAUACGUACGAAAAUAAAUAAGAUAUUUUUUUUUAUCGUACUUUCUCAAUGCACAUAACACAAUCUUCUCGUACUAAUCAAUAGUGGUCCAGAAAGAGAGACACAUAGUUCGUAUAACGAACAACCACUGACAAGCAACAACUCUCUUGGAAAGGACAUCUAAUGUGCCUAAUGCCCAUAAAAGGAGGGGCAAUGGUCAAUUUUCCGGAUUGGAAAUAUGCACUUUGCCCCCUCCACUUUAGUUCGUCUGUCUGGCAUUAGCGGUGUAACAAGUGAAAGCAUUACUUUUUGGUCCUGUUCAUGGCAGACCUUCAAUUAAUAUUGGAUGAUCUCACCACACAACUUGCGAAAUCUUCAUCCCAUCUAGAAGUUGGCGUUACGUUUGGAGGCAAACUUGUUAUGAAACUAAAUUAAAUUAAACUUCAAAAGAGUUGAAUUUAAUUGUAUUUAUAUUUCCAUGUUCCCAAAAUGGAUGUGUCUCCGUUCUCCAUGCUCCAAGCUGUGAAUUUAAGCAAAAUCAUAUUUAGGCAUCUAAAUUUCAAAUUUGAGGUUCCAAAACAAUGAAUAAGAACGAAAAAUUGAAGUGUCAAAAAAAUAUAACACAAUCGUUUGUCCCUAUAAUCUUAAACUUUCAAAAAAUACAGUCAUUUUUAUAUUUAUAUUAAACAUUUUUCUUCGUAUCCGGAUUCAAUAGUUUUUAGUUGGCCCAGGUCGGAAGAUUCAAACUCAGCUUCUUCAGCUCUAAUACCAAAGUAAAAAAAAUGUAAACUGAUAUUGUUUACAAUUGUUCUUUUUCCUCAACACAAAGUAAUUUUUCAUAACACAAUUGUUCUUUUUCCUCCACGUCCUUGCUCCAAGAAAGAAAAAAGAAAAAGGAAAACCCCAAAGUAGGGAUGCACAUGGAGUAAGGCAUGUGGAAAUCCCACUCGGUAGAAGCCGAAAAUAAUAAAUAAAUAAAUAAAUAAAUAAUCUGUUUCGAAUUUACUUCGAUCUACUAAGAAAUAGAGCAGAAAACGAAAAAUUCUUUUUUUUUUAAUCUGUUUCAAUCCACUCAAAACUCAAUGCUCACCCCACCUGCCCUGAAUAUAGAAUAAGGCGGUGAAAAAUAGAAUAAAAAAUUAAUCUUCUGAAUUCGGCCAAAUCUGUAAAAAAAGCAGAUAAUGAAAGAUCUCGCCUGUCUCAGAAUCCGCAUGGUUUGCAUCCCUACCCAAUAUAAAAGAAUACGACACUAGUGGGUAGGUCUCAAUUAACUAUCGCGACUACUCACUCUCACCUUAUCUUCACACGAAUACAUCAAAAUUUUCCCGUGUGCAUCUUUAAAUCUCCACCGUCCAAUCAAUCAGCCAAUAAAAUGAAAAUGAAUUCCUAUCCUCAUCCGUGACGUAACCAUUGCUCUGAGAUGACGUAAUAGUUGGACCCCAUCAAAACAAUCUUGUUCUUUUUCUUUUUUCUUUUUUCAUUUUUUUUUGGUUUCUAGAAGCUGGAAUAAUCCAAACUAGACGCACUAUAUCGCGAAGCAAAUUUUUUCCUUUUUUUUUUUUUUCCCUCACGUUGUAAGGGGUGUUGUAGGUAUUUUGUUCUCAAGAGAGAGAGAGAGAGAGAGAGACUUCGAGGAUCAAAAAAUAUAUAUAAAUAUAUGCUGAUAUUUUUAAAAAAAUUUUGCUUGUCACAAUCAAGUAACUUGAUAACUAAGCAUGUAGUAGUCGCCGAGGAUUGUAACCUUCAACCAUUCUUGUAAAGCAAGAUAAAUGGAUGUUACUGUUUUUUUCUUUUUACGAAAUUAAUUCUUUAGAUAAUGUGACAUCAGAGAUCUUUCUGUUUCCACGUAUCAUGAGUUUGAUUCUCGAAUAUCUUUUAUCUGUUCAGUCGCUGUGCGUAGUAUAAUUAACCUGAUAUCCAUCGAUAUGUGAUUGUAAUUUUAGGAUCAAUAACCGACCGUCCCUAGAGUAAGUGGCAAUUGGUUUGAUGGUUGGUGCCCGAGACCCAAGUUCGAAUCCUAGUUGAUUCACAUUUUCAGUUAAGUUUAUUUCUAAAUUAAAUAAACGAAGCGGGUAGCGUGCUACCUAUCUCUCAAAAAAAAAAAAAUUUAGGAUCAAUAACGAACCCUUUCCUAUGGUGUAGAAGAUACCAAAAAAGAAAAUAUUGUUUCAUCUUUUGAAAUCAUUAUUGUUUAUUUAUUUUUCAUCAUAAAGUUGUUCAUUAUUAAUAUCUAUAGAGUGAGUAACAAUUAUGUUAGUAUUGUUUAGAAGAAAAUAAUACUUAGUAUCCCAUCAGUGCUAUAUGUAAAGUUCGACUGGGAUACUAUCAAUGGCAUUUGGACUUUUUUGUUAUCGAUUUUUUAACCGUUAGAUUUAGACUUUAAUCAAUUCCAUCAUUUAGAUCAUAUUACUCAACCAACCACUCACUCAACCUUAGGAAGACUGCUACUAAACCAUAGAAAACUACUAUCAUCCAAACCUUACAAUUUUUCAUCUAAGAAUUAAAAAUUUGAUAGCAAAAAAAUUCAAAUACUAUUAAUAGUAUUCCAGCCCCCAAUUAUAUAUAUAUAUAGUAGGUCUUGUGUGCUAUUAGGAGCACGGAGGCCUUCGUGCUCCUAAACCGUUUUCGAUGAUGGAGCUUUCGAAUCGACAAUCGGCUCCACUAGACUUAAUCUAGCAUAUUUGAAGUAUCUAGAAAAUAAAUUGUGUGGUUUUUCGAUAUCAUUUACCUAACGAUUAAAAUGGUUCAAAAUCAAUGGCAGAAAAUAAAAAUUUCAUAAAAAGUUGUGAUAUAGAACUAGGCUAAUAUACUAUCAAUAGCACCAAGUCAUUGGUGCUACCAAGUUUUUGGCCAUUGGAUUAAAAGAUGUGCGGUUAGUAUGAUGUGGGUUCCCUAGGGUUGAGUGGGUGGUUGGUUGAAUAGUAUGAUCUAACGGGUGAAAAUGAUCAAAAAGGUAGAUCUAACGGCAGAAAACUUAGUAGCACUAAGGGCGUGUUUGGUUCGCUUCUUUUUCACCCUGGAAUCGGAAUCGGAAUGGAUAAAUCCGUUUGUGGGUGUUUGGUACGCGGGAGUUCCAUUCCGAUUCCGAUUCCCGAGUGGAAUCGGAAUCCUCCAAUCACCUCUUUUUUCAAUCCGGCCUAGAAGGCCGGAUUGAAAGUUGAAUCCGGACGGAAUGAAUAUUUAUUCGGAUUAAAUUUAUUUUUUCAACUUUUUUAAUUAAAAUAUGAGUUAAAAUUUUAAAAUUAAAUAUAUAAUUUUAAAUUUUAAUUUAAACUUAAAUUAAAAAUUAAAAUUUAAUCAAGUAUUUCGAAUCUAACUUAUGAAUUUGAAUUUAAAUUAAAUUUUAAUUUAUAUAAAAUGUUAUUCAAAUUUUAUUUCAAACUUAAAUUAAAUUUAUGUAUUCAAAUUAAAUUUAAAUUGCAAUUUUAAAUUUGAAUUUGAAUAAAUCAAAAUUUAGUUUCAUAUUUUAAAUUAUCCACUCAACUUCAAAGUUUAAUUUUUUUAAAAAAUAGAUUUAAAAUUUUGACAUUAUUUCAAAAUUUUGAUGUAAAUUUUUAAUAUUUAAUUUUUAAUUUGAAUUUAAAUUAAUAUAUUAUAAAGAUAAUGUUAGUAUAUUAAUUUGAUUACAUUUUUUAUAUCCACCUGAACCAAACACCGACAAUGGGAAUGAUUUAUUCCGAUUUCGAUUCAGGUGAUGAACCAAACAGAAUUAGGUAAUGAGUCAUUCCGAUUCCGAUUCCAGUUUAUUUUGAUUCCGAUUCCGAUUUCGAUUCCGACUUCGAACCAAACGCGCCCUAAGUGCUUCGUGCUAUUAAUAGCAUAGCAGGCGGUCUCUCUCUCUCUCUCUCUCCCUCUCUCUCUCUCUCUCUCUCUAUAUAUAUAUAUAUAUAUAUGAGUUGAGCUGGAAUGCUGUCGGUAAUAAACGGGCUUCGUUGCCACCCAUUUGUUUUCGAUGAUGAAACCUCCAAAUUGACGAUCAGCAUCGUUGAAUAUAAUCUAUACCACUUGAAAUAUAUAAAAAUCAAAUUUCAAAUCUUUUAGACAUCAUUGACCCAAUAAUCAAAGGGUUUCAAAAUUUGUAAUUUUAAUGGUUGAUAUGAGGCGUUUUUUCGUUUAACGGUGUAAAGAUAUUCAAAUCAAUUGAAUUUUGUUUAGAAAAUUCUUUAAACUAUUUAGAAUAAGAUCUAUACUCUCGAUCUUGAUUAUAAAAUUCAUAUCAUCACUUUUUAAAAAAUAUUUUUCAUUUAUGUGUCUACUUGAUGGGCAAGAGAACAAUAUUAAAAAAUCAUGAAAUUUGGUUUUUAGAUGAUUCAAGUGGUAUAAAUUAUGUUCAACAAUGCCGAUCGUCGAUUUGGAAGCUCUAUCAUCAAAAAUAAAGAGAUGGCAACAGAGCCCAUUUGUUUCCGAAAACGUCCAAAUGUAAUUCCCAGAAUUUCAAGAUACUCUCCAUAACUCCUAACCACUUUCGACCAUUUGAGUUUUUAAUAUAAAAGUAAAAAAAUGAUUAACUCCUAAAAAAAGACUUUUGAAUCACAGGAUAUAAAAUUUACACUUACUUAUAGGGUAUAUAUACAGAGUGCAUUAUUUUUGAAAAAAAUUUAAAUAUAAUUAAUUUACGUGGUUUUCUGAGUGGGAUAAAUAAUGCUCAGUCCAUUUCAUAAACACAGGAGUAAAAAUAAUAAUAAAAAAAAUAAAAAAGAUGGCCUAAUUAACGGUUUUUUCAACAGGCGACAAAAAGAGAAAAGAGAAAAACGCCAAAAAGCGUCCAUAUAUUCUAUGCAUUUCUUAUCCAAUUUGAAGCAGUCAAAAACUCAAACCCGUUGACCUUCUCAAAACUCCAAAGUCUACCCUCCUUAAUUACUUAAAGGAAAAAAUAUGCAUGAUAUAUACUCCAAUAGAUUACUAACUUUAUCCGUAUGCAUGUGCUACAACAUGCAAGAAAAAACUUCAAAUACCACUCCUAUGAUUUCAUACAUUUUCACCUUAGUACCAUGUGAUUUAAAAUGUAUCAAUUUGGUGUUCUGUAGUUUUAUUUUUAUCUUUUUAUUAUCGAUUCCACUAAUUUUUUGUUAAAUCAAUAACAAAGUUAAACUAAAUGGUAUUAAAGUGAAUAUUCGAUAAACCCGGGUUAUCUAAAAUUUUUUGUAUAUAAUUUAAUAAAAUAUUAAGAAAAAAGCUGACAAAAAGAUAAAAAUGAAACCGCAGGGUACUAAAGUGAGAAAGUGCGAAACUACAGGAGUGGUAUUUAAAGUUUAUCCAGAACAUGUACAAUAAAUGUUUCUAAACUCAAAAAAAAAAAAGGUCAAAUUGUUGCUCUCAUGUAUUGUUGAUCGGUUGAUACUAAUUAAUCACGCAAAAUGAGUGUUUUUUCUUUUUUUUUCACAAGAAUUUUUAGUGCCAAAUGUGCCCUUUUUACUUUCACAGUUUGGUUUGUAGAAAAAGAAAAUAUAAUAUAAUUUUGCGAAUAUUUAGAUGACACAAUUGAUUAUUUUCUCUUUACUAUAAGAACAAAAAAGUCCUAAUUUUCCUACAAAUUUUUUCCAUGUUUCACAUACAAAUUAACAAAACCAAGGAACAAAAAUUUUAGCAACUGGAGAAUUCAUGGCCACUGAUCACAAGUAUAAUUUCAAGUAUUUUCAGUUGUAUUUCUUAGCUAUAAAUCACAUUCUAAAUCUACAUAAAAUUGUUAUAAAACCUGUGUGGCAUGCCAUUACAUAACAAAAAAGGUUUUUAUUUUUUUUAUUUUUUUGUGUAUUACUAAAUUAAACAUCAUUACUACCAACAACAUGUUUGUACAUGGUUCUUCACAAAUCACUAUAAACAGGCCACUACCUAUAUAUAACAACAAUAAAUCAACUAUUUAUAUUUAUAAAUCAAAAUCGUACAUAACGCGACCCAAAUUGAUUGUACAAUCAUAUAUACUGCUAGGGUUUAAGCCUAGCAGUUGGUACCACCCGACACGCUCGAAGGAGAGGUUGCAAGUUGAGACAUAGUUGCGGAACUAAUACACAACAAUCAUAUAGUUUUUAAUUUUACUCAAAAUAAAAAAUUAUUUCUCAAGAAUCAAGAAUUUAAGUGUCCGUCAAUAUGAAUCAUACAUACAGUGUAAAGAAAAUAUCCACACGGUAUAAACCCUAUGUUGAUAUGAAAGCUUAGAAAUUUUUUUUUUUCCUUUAAGUUAAUUAAUAGUUAUCUCAAUAAAAUAUAAAAGAUUUGAAAAAAAAGAUAUAUUUAUAUAAUAAGUAAACAAAAUACAUUGGUGCGAAGAAAUAAAUACUUUAUGUAACAGUGUAUUGGUACACAAAUAUUUUUUUUGUGAUCGACACACUGUUUCAUACCCUAACAACAAGUUUUUCAUGUGAAUCCAUACCAUAGCAUUUAAAUCCGUGUCAACAACCACUAAAUUAUUAUCUCCCUCAAAAAUAUAUUACUAAAAACAAUAUAAAUUAAUCAAAUAAAUAAUAUAGUAGCAUUUGGUCACCUUAUUUUGAGACAUCAAACUUUAAUAUUCGAUGUAAUGUAAUUUUUGACCCACAAACACGCAUUUUGUUCUAGAAGCAUGGAGAAUAAUCUAGUAAUUAAUACCGGUUUUUUUAGCUAGCAUCAACGAAGUAUAUAUCAUCACAUCACGAAGGCAAAUCCUUUCCGUAUUAGAGUUCUCGACUUAAUAAAUUUUUCCACGAGCCGUGAUUUCCGUGAUACGCUUGCGAAUAUAUAUAUAGUAUUCCACGUGUUGUACAGUGUACUUGAUUAGAUACAACCAACGGCGUUGAUUCGCUUAAAAAUGAAAGGUUAACAUAUGAGCCAAUAAGAACUCGCCACGUAAUCUUCUAGAAAGGGCACAAAAUCUCACACGCUCGCAUACGUACGCGGUUACACCGCCACACGUGUUUGCCUCUCCCCCAAGGAAGCGGAAGCGUCAACCGCCACCCCACCACCCGAAACCCAACACCGGGAUUAUUAGCUCAACGCUUACCUCAACACCCCUCCGAGAUUGUCCGUGAACCGGGUCCACCGUGAACCGAUGAGUUUUUACAAAUUAGUUUUGAAUUACUGAAUGUAUUCUUAUUUGUUCAAAUAUGGAUGCAUUAAUGAAAUAUAAUGUUGCUUUCGUGAGAAGAUCAUGGUUUUUGUAUUUGUAUCAUGAAUUUUAUCUAAUUACUAAUUAGUAUAGAUUAUUGAAUUAUAUGAUGUGACUAUAUUAAUUUAUAAAUUAUAUAGGAACAUGCGUUACCAUUGAGUAAUGCUUUUAUAUAAAAAUUUUUAGCUACUUAAAAUAAUAUGUGAAGAGAGAACGAUCAUAUUACUAUUAAAGGUGAUCCAUUUUUGUUCUUUCUCCUAGGAAAGCAAAACUCUACUUUUUAAUAAUAAUUUUUUUCUAAUGUAAUUAACAAAACAUUUCGCCACAUACUAGAUGAAAAAUACUAUUAUAUUAUAAAUAAAUAGUACAAAUUACUUUAUGUUAUGCAUGUCGUUUUCGAUAAUUGAGCUUUCAAAUAGCUAAUCAAUACUAUAAAAUAUGAUUUACAACAUUCGAACAAUCUAAAAAUCAAAUUUAGAAUUUUUUUAUAACAAAUUACAUACUAGUCGAAAGAUUUAAAAAUAAUAAUUUUUAAUGGUGCAAAGCAAUCCAAAUUCAGUAAAUAUUUAAUAAAACAUUAUAUUCAAUAUCUAGAUUAAAAUUAAAAUCUUUGAUUAUGUCAUAAAAUUCCAUUCUCUAUUUUUAUAAAUUAUUUGUUUUUUGAUCAUUUACUUUGUUGAUAGCUGAUAUAUAUAAAAAAAUUAUAUUCAAAAAUUAUAAAACUUUAUUUAUUAAAUUAUUGGAAUGCUUUAGAUCAUAUUUAACAGCUUUCACUGACAAUUCGUAAGCUCGAUAAUCGAAACGAAGUAUAGAUAGGACAGAAGAUUUGUGCUAUUUAUAGCAUAAUAGUUUUUUCCCUAAUUAGAUUUUAAAAAAUCACAUUAUAUAUAUAUAUAUANUCUUGCCCAUUUAUAUUUGGAAGUCCACAUUUUGAGUAACAUUAGGCCACCGUUUGGUUGGGGGUUAAGGGGUGGAAUAACCCCUUAACCCCUAAUUUAUACUCAAACACCACUCUUUUGGGGUGGGGUUAGUAAACCCCACCCCAAACCGGAUUAGUGGGGUUUACUAACCCCACUCCCCCUCCCAACUUUAACCCCGCACGCAUCCCGAGCCCUCACAAUUUUUUUCUUUAUCAAUCAUUAACCCCACUCCCCCUCCCAACUUUAAUCCCGCACGCAUCCCGAGCUCUCACCUUUUUCUUCUUUAUCAAUCAUUAUCUUUUUAUCCCACCUACUCCAACCAAACACUUUUUUUCACUAUCCUAUACUAACUCCAAUCUCCAACCAAACACAAAAAAAUUUUAACAUCAUUUUAACCCUGAACUUAACCCUAUCCCUGAAAUAGCUACUUUUUCUUAAUCCCGAACCAAACGGGGCUAGAAGAAUAAGAGGCAUGUAUAAUAGUCUAGCGCAUGCUUAGAUGGUCUUUAGGAUUGGACCUUCGUAGGCUGACGUGGUGGACCUUGUCCAGGGAAUAACAUUCUCGCAAGUGCCUCAUCCCUUCGAUGUGCCCCUUAUUAACGCCGCACACAUCUCUCUCCUCUCUCUAUAUACUCUCUCAGAGCGCGCACGGAACUAAAAAAAUUCCUAUAGUUAUUAUUAUUUAUCCAACCCAUCGGAAUAGGAACAAAGAAGAGAGAGAGAGAGCGCGCGCGAGCGAAACGAGGUAGAGAGAGAAAGGAAGGGAGAGAUGUUGGAGGAGAGGAAACGAACCCUAACCCUAUCUCCGAGCUUCAGGGAGGAGGAUGAAGAAGAAGAUGAGGGCGAUCGCGCGAUCUCCGCCGCCCAUCACGGCUCCCCCCAGCAGAUCUCCGCCGUUCCCGCCCUCCCGGGCGACUCCCGAGGCGAAGUCGGCGGCGGCUCCGGCGACGACGACGACUUCGAGUUCUCCUUCGCGAUCGCCGCCCCGGACUCCGCCGCCCCCGCGAUCACCGCCGACGAGAUCUUCUCCAACGGCCGGAUCCGCCCCGUCUACCCCGUCUUCGACCGCUCCCUCCUCCUCGGCGACGACGACGACGACGCCGAUCCGCCGCCCCCGUCGUCGUCCGCGGCGGCUGCAGCGACGGCGGGGCCGAGGCCGGGGGCGAGGCUGCCGCUGGGGCGGCUCCUGAUGGAGGAGCGGAACUCGUCGGUCGGGUCGAACUCCUCGUCGUCGUCGUCGGCGGCGUCGGAGCCGGGCGAGCUGGAGGGGGUCGCGCCGGAGACGUACUGCUUGUGGACGCCGGGGUCGGCGCCCAAUUCUCCGGCGCGGUGCCGGAAGAGCGGGUCGACGGGGUCGAUCGUGCGGUGGCGCCGGAUCAGCGAUCUCGUGAUCGGGCGCAGCCGCAGCGACGGGAAGGAGAAGUUCCUCUUCCUCCGAAACCCCAACCCUAACCCUAACCCCAACCCCAGCCCCGAACCCAAGGCGAAAGAGGCGAAAGAGGCGAAAGAGGCGAAGGGGAAGGAGAGGAAGGGCGGUAAGGUUACCGAGAUGGAUACGGUCACCGCCCACCGCGUAUUAUACUACGGAAAAGGCGCGAAGGGGGGUCGGAGAGCGUCGUUCCUUCCGUACAAGCAGGAUCUCGUCGGAAUAUUCGCCAAUGUGAACGGGGUUAGCCGAGCCCACCACCCUCUCUAAUUUUUGAAGGGGAAAAAAAAGAAAAAAAAAAACUUUAAAUUAUUACCCUGCUACUACUAUUAUAAUUAUUUUCCAUUUGUUUAUUAGCUGGAGAGCAUGUGGUGUCGGUGAAAGUAUACAUUUCCCUUCUUUUCUUUUUUUUUUCUUGUUUCUUUUUUUUUUUUAGGAUUCAGAUGCGUGGAAGAGACUGUUCAUAUUAGGAUCUUUUGGGCCUCAUAUAAUAAUAAUAAUAAUAAUAAUAGUGUAAUAAGGGUUUUGUAUAUAUAUAUUUGUGUGGAGUGAAUUAACUAAUCUGGGCUUUUGUGGAGUAUUAAUGAUUCGUGGAACUUGGAGUCCUCUUCUUUGUUGUAUAUGGAACUUCAUAUUGUAUUAAAAAUGGCGGCAAAUUUUGUAAUACAAUGCAUGAAUGAGUAUUGUUGCCAUAUUUUAUAUAAUUUUUUUUUUUUAAUCUUUAUAUCCUUGGCUAGCUUGUAAUAAUACAAUUUUGUUGUUUAACUUGAUAGUGUUAUUGAUUUUUAGCAAGUAUUUUUAUUAUUAUUAUUUUAACAUCAAGCAAGGCUUAUAGAUUUAUUGAUUGCUAGCGUUUGGCUAAAUCGACUGCUGAUUCUAAUAUAUAUUCUAAUGUGUUUAAAAAUAAAAAAGUGAAAUAAAGAUAACUAAAAUCAAGAAAAAUAAUAUCAGAUCAUUCUAUUUACCGUGCAUGUAAUUUUAUAAUUCGUGUUAUUCACGCGGUGAACGUAAGAUGGAGUUAUUUUUAUAAUUCGUGUGUGUCAUUCACGUGAUGGAUGUCAGUUGGAGUAAUUUCAUAUUAAAUACUGUUCCUACCAAGUUCUUGCUCAUUUUUAUUCAUUAAUUAAUAGAAGAGUGAAUUACAGUUUUGGUUCUCAAAAGUGUGAGGUGCGAAGUAUAAUUUUUAACUUGAAUUUUUAAAAUUAUUAUAAUUUAAAUCUCACUAAAUUUAAAAAAAUUUAAACUAAAAAUUAUAAUAAACUAAAAUUUAAGAGCCUAACUGUCAUCCUACUAAAAAAAAGGUGCAAUUUACUUUCAAUAAAAACAUAAAAGGUGAAACGCACCGCACAUUCUGAUCAGCCACAUGAGAUUUUAUUCCUUUUGUUAUGCCUAUGAACAGGAGUGAACACAAGAGUCAACCCUAUUCUGAACCCCAAAAACAUGCUAACUACAGCUACAUGCCAAAAAUUACAAAUAAAUAACAUAAAUAAAAGGGUGCGGUAGACCAUGACACCAUGUCGGUUCAAGGAACAGGGAAAAUUAUUUUGACUUUCACACUCUUUGGAGAACAGUUGAAUCCUCCUCCAUUUGUUCUCAUUAUUAUAGAGAAUAGAGACAACCUAAAGAUGCAGCUCAAAGAAAAUAGGUCUACAGUACCAAGUCCAUCACAAAGUCUCCUUUUUGUGCCCAAUUUUGGAUUAAACUGCAUAGAAAUCGCAACUUAGUCCCCGAACUUCUCACUUAAUUCAAACCUGACGGUCGAAAAAGAAAACGCAGGGACUAAAUCGCGAUGUAGGAUCGGUACAAGGAUUAUCGAUACAUUUUACCCUUCCAGAUGCUUUUGCCCAUCUCCUUCCUUUGAAUAUUCUAUGAGCUGAGAUGUGAAAGCUUGCCGAGCCCCCGUUUUUCACUUGGGUGAAAAAUAAGUACACAUGGAUAGUUGCAUUGCACCUAAUAUUUGGAGAUUUUGGAGUAGGUUUAUGUUGACAUUGUAACUUUCCACGCUUCAAGUCAUGUAGACUUUGUAAAUUAUGAUUUGUUAAAAUAAGCCUUUGUAACGAACUUAAUUGUCGAAGAUCGUGCACUUGAUUCUCUUCGUUCGCGAAAAUUUAACUGCGCCCUGCGUAUCAUGCAUCCGUGGAUAGAAAAAUACUUCUUUUUGUAUCGUCUGUUUGAUCUGGAAUAUCGAUCUAGGUUUUCAAAGCUUAUGUGUUUUUAAUAUGCGAGGGUUUUAAUUAAAUGAUUUGGAUUUUAAAACAUAUAUUAGCAAUCUCAUACAUCAGGGUACAACCAAUAAUUAUUUUUUUACUGGUUUUAUGACCUGAUCAAAAUGAAGAAAGAGUAAAAGAGCUGGUGAGUUAAUUCAUACUACACAGUUUUUAAGUGAGAACUAAUCAAAACCAAAGCUGUGGGUUUUACCAACAUAUGAUAAAAUAAAUUUUCUCUGUAUUUUUUUUCAGAACUUUGCUUUCUUGGAGAUCAUGUAAUCUUGGAGUACUAACAUGUGGUAGGUGUAUAAAAAUACGACAGUAACCCUUUGUCUUACUUAAUGUGCUGUAACAUGUAUUACAAUAAAAUGAUGUAUGGUCCAUAGUUUUUAUCCAGGCAUUUGCCUGUCCCCAUCCACUUCAAUCAUCCUCAGGUCAAUUUGAAGCUCCCUAUUAGUUGUCUCAAGUACUGUUUUUUCUUCUUUUUCUUUUUUUUUUCACUCUCUUUUUUAAUAACCGGGUGAUUUCUUCUUUUUUUUUUUUUUUUUGUUUAACACGUUAUGAAAGAUAAGCUUAUUUUUUUUGUUUAAAAUUAUUCUCUCCAGCUACGACAGUUGGGCCUUCUCUACUAAUUACAACUGCAGCAGUUGAACACAAAUCUAUAAAAUUAAAUACUGAAUCUUGAUCUACAUGAAAUUACAACCACAGUACAGUUUCAAGUGAUUGCAGCCCAAUAGCCUUUAAAAGUAGAGCAUAUAGGAAAGGGGAAAAAAAAAUCUAACGGAAACUUAAAAUGCACAACAUCUGCUUAAAAAAUAUAGAAAAAUUUUCAAAUACCACCCCUGUGGUUUCAUACUUUCUCACUUUAGUGCCCUGUGGUUUAAAGUGUAUCAAUUUAAUAUUCUGUAAUUUUAUUUUUAUCUUUUUAUUAUCGAUUUCACUAAUUUUUUUUAUUUAAUCAGUAACAAAGUUAAAACUAAAAGAUAUUAAAAUGAAUAUUCGAUAAACCUAGGUGAGGUAUCUGAAGUUUUUUUUUAUAUAAUUUAACAAAAUAUUAACGGAGAAGCUAACGAAAAGAUAAAAAUAAAAUCAUAUGACAUUAACUUGAUACACUUUAAACUAUAGAAUACUAAAGUGAAAAAGUACGAAACCACGGGUGGUAUUUGAAGUUUACCCAGAAAAAUAUACACAGAAAAAAAAAACGGGUGGUAUUUGAAGUUUACCCAGAAAAAUAUACACAGAAAAAAAAAAAAAACUGCCCUGUUUCUUUUCUUAAAUCAAUUCAUUGUUCAUUGUCGACUAGUCCCCUGGAAAGCACCAAAAGAGCAAUCAAUUUGAUAAGAAAUGGAAACAAGAUAGAAAUGGAGACAAGCAGGAGAGCAUACAAUGCACCAUCAUUUUCAGUUUAAGAGGUAACUCUUGCUGAUUAAAUUAAAUACGCAACUAAAACAUUAUAUCAUAAACAGUCCAAAAUUAUAUCAUAAAGAGUCCAGUAACUUUUUAUAGAGAUAACACAUCGUAGUCUCUGAUCUCUUACUACCGCAAAUUAAACCACUGUUAUUGCACAGCUUCCUAACAGCAUCCCUGUUUUCGUCGACUAGAAGAUGCUAUUUAUUAGCAGACCACUACCUCCACAUCACUUAAGUUUUCACAAUUCUAAGUCAAGCUAAAGAAACAAAAUUAUACAUAUCUUUAGAACAGAAAAUAGGAUUACUAUGUACACAACUCUCUAACUGAUCAACCCAAAGGGAACAGAAACAAACUUGAGCGUACAGAAAACUAUAAAUAGAUAUGCAUCAGUCAGACGUGAUAACAUCUACCGUGGGGAAGACGAGCGGAGGUCGAUAAUCUCCAACCGCAAAUUAUGGUUAAUGUAGAUGUUGCUGCAGCAUUCGAAAAGAGGGCUUCCAUCAGAAGUAUCCGGGUGUGAAUGAAACCCGCUUUCCUUGCACUCUUUUAAAAUGGCAAUCCCUCCAGGGUUUGUUAGCCGGAAUAUUCCAUAGUUCCUGCAGGGGUUUCAAAGAAAAUAAGAUCAUCAAAUAUUCUCAUCCAUUGUUCAUUUUUAGACAUGGAAGUUUGUCUAUCGAGAAAACUAGAGUGCACCGAUUAAAAGUCGAAUUUUCUGAACCUAUACAGAUAAGCACAUUCUUGAAGGGUGAUCUAGAGAGGAUGUUAGAAAAGGUUGAAGACCUUGAUCUUUAAAAUGCAUGUACGGUAUUUGGACUACUAAGAUUUGCAACUCAGAUUAUAAAAGAAAAGCAUCAUAUUAAGUAUCGGUUUCGACCAUACUAGAGAGCAGCUUCUCCACUCCAAGAAGCAGUAGUCAUGCAUUUGGCGACUAGUACGUUCAAAGGUUUUGCUACAGCAGAUCAAGCUCCAUGUCAAAAAUUUUGUUUACGUAAUAAUAAAAGGCCGCUGAGGGAUACUAGCGAAAAUUUUAUGGUUUUUUGAACUGCUUUACUCAGGACGAAACAAUACAAGUAGACUUAUUUUGUUCUGAGUACACAUUUUUCACAUCUACAUAUCAAGAGGGAAGAUGGGAAUCAACAUGCAUUGAAAUGUCCCAAUCUCUUUUUUGUUUUCUUUUUUUUAUAAUUGACUAGGGUCUCACAAGGCUUUCAUAAUGUACAGAUCCUUAAAGUGAGGAGAAAUCCCUUGCCUUGUGGAAUCAGUUGGAGCCAUGACAAUCGCAACAGCCUCUGGUAGCAUGACCUGUGACAGAUAUGAAAGUACAUACAAAACCCGAUAAGGUGAGCAGAUAGCUCUUGACAAGAUGCAACAUCAACUUCUAGACUUGCAACGAUUAUGCUCGCAGCAGAGCAUCGUCUUGCUUUUGCAAUAGCAAAGAGAUGAUAGGGAAGAAGGCAAUUCUUUAUUUGUUGAAAACAUCCUGCGUAGAAAUAGUAUAAUUGUAAUUUUUGUCUCGAAAAGAGAAUAACAACCAACGUUCCAAAACCUGGUAAGGGUAUUGCGUGUGCAAAUCGAUUGACGAUAGGAAGCAUGUCUGAGAGGGAUGCGUCUGAAACAACAGAGGAAAAAAAAAUGUUCAGAAAAAUGAACAUAGAACUGAAAGGUACCAUUGAUAUUUUCCACAAUUAUGGCAAAAGGCACCCAAUCUGCAAUAUAAAAGUAGAAAAGCAUAAAACUAGUAGUGUUAUCUUUAAACAUUUGCUUCACAUGGAAUGAAAGAAAAAAAGAAAAACCUUGGUUGGGUGCAUCUAAGUAAAUGGAUGUAUCCACGAUGGAAUUAAUGUAAUCUUGUGUUAAUACUUAAUAGUCAUGUAUAUGUAGUUAUAGUUAACACAUACCUCUGUACAUGUCACAGACUCACAAUCUGAAACAAAGUCAGAAUAUAGUGUCGUACUAAGUUUGUUCGCUAGCAUCAGUGAGUGUCUUAUGUUCUUUCGCCAAAAAUAAAAAGUCAAAACAUGGUUUGAUUAGUCAAAAAUAAUAUGCCCAAGUCGACAAUAAUUGUUUAUUACGACAAAAGCGGAAAAAAUCUAGUUCGCCAGGUGCAAAAAUAUGAAAAAAAAAAAAAUUAAGAAAGAAGAAAAAUAAAGCACACAAAUAUUUACGCAGUUUGGUUGCUGACCUACGUCCACGAGCGAAGAUAGAGCAGAGACUUAAAUUAAAGCCAAUGUGGUGUACAAAAGAUGUCUCUUUCACAAAACUUUAGUUACAAAAUACAUCCUAUAUUCUCUCUCAUGCCCCGCACUAAAUUAAUGGAACAAAGGGUAUAUUUACAUUAGUGACUAAAAUCCAAUAAGACUAAAAAUAAUCUCAAUAAAACUAGGCAUAUUUAACUUUAAUAGGUUGACCAAAACAGAAUAGGUUAAGAAACCUAACGGUUUAAGAAUUCGAGACAUAUAUAACAUUGUUCAACUUCUACUAGCCGUAAGCCCCAUUGCUCACAAUUGUUUGUCAGACCUCUAUUGGAGCAUAGAACAAUUCUACAAGAUACAUUCGACAAUAUCAGUUUGCUCUCUUCUCUAUGACUUAAGCCAAUCCUUCUCAAUUCAACAUGAGAAAACACAAAAUCAUCAGUUUAUAUGGUUUGCCACCGAUAACAGUCCCUGCGCACUUGUACUAAACCACAUCCUCCCAUUAUCCGCUUCAAUGCUUUAAAAUUUUAACAUCCCACUGAAAAUAGAAUAUUUGAGAUAUCAUAUACAAAACCUUCCUAAUGACAGUGCAAAUUUACAUGACAUUUCAUACCUUUCUGAACUAGCAAAGAUUUGCCAAUCAAUAAGACUUCAUUAUCCUUUUCAUAUAAAAUCAGACCACAUUAAUUGAGCAUCAUUAAGAACUAGCUUCUAAUCCAUAAAUAUCAUGUCAGGGACUCGAAAAGAAUUACUAAGCAAGUUCACACAGUAAUGACUAGCGAAAAGGCCAAAUGUAGAAAUUGGAGAGCUCAAUAUUGGGAUAUUUACAUGUAUCCAUCCUGCAGGAAAGAGAGAUUCGCCAUCCAGUAUUGCAUGUAUCUCCUCCUCAUUUAAUGCCUGGCACUGCCAUUUAGUACAAGAACUGUAAUUGCUCGGACAUUUAUGGGCAAAAUGGGGGCGAAAAAAAAGAGAAACUGAUGAGAAAUAAUUUCAAGAACAUUCAAGACAAAAUAGCUCAGAAUAUUAUGAAUACCGACAUACUGAAUGGGCAGUUGUUUCUUGCUUUGGUAUUAUUAGGGUAGUUACAUAGAAUGUUCCAUUCUUCUGCAAGACAACCGAAAUAUAUGUUUGAAAUAUUGCACACUUGAGAACCAGGACUAUGAGAAAAAGUAAUAAUCUUCAGUUUCUUACAAGGAAAGCACCAAGAACCCCACAAGUCUCCAGAUUCUGGCUUGUAUUAUCUCCGGCAAGUACCAUAAAUUCUUCCAUCAAUCUUGCCGACUGAAAAAUAAAUAGACAGUUACAAUAUAUUGAUUCAAGGGCCAAAGUUUCAUGCUGAUAUGGAAAACUUCAAACUAGCCAGCUUCUGUAUUGCUCACCAUAAGUUGUAAAGCAUUAAUAUGCAGUGAUUGAAGAGAACAAUGGCCUGUUUGGCCUGGCUAGAGGUUCUGCAAAAGUGCAGUUGAGUACAGCUAUUUGAAAAGGCACUAAGUAGUCUAUUUGGGCCCACUUUUGCUCUUGCUUUCAACUGCAACCACCUCUAGUAGAAUACUUGGCAAACAAAAGAAUGCAGAACUUUUGUUGCGGAUGGAAGUAGAAUUUCGAGCCCCAAAAGCAAAAGCUCCAAUUCGGAGCUUCAAAUUCUACUAACAUAGAGAACAUUAUGAGGGGAUUAUAAUGAAUGCUUCGCCUAAUAGCUAAACUCAAUUAGCAUUUCAACGAACAGCAGUACCAUACAAGAGAACUAAACAAACCCUAACAGCUUUUUCACUCGGCAACGUCACUUCCAGCAUAAGCAGAAGAUUUAAAUUGUUUCUUCUACUUUUGGGGGGUCCAAAAGCUCAUUUAGCUUCUCGCCACAUCAAAAACUUCAAAUAUAUAUUAUUCGCACAGCCAUCCAUCUGUUGCUUCCCAGGUUGCAGAGGCGGUUCUGGAAGGCAAGCCAAUCAAUUACUAGAAUAAAUGUAAUAAACGACCACACUCACUAUAUGCAUAUCACGAAGAGCACUGGAAUUUGAGGACUCGGCAGAUGAAGUUUCCAAAUACUCAUUUCUCGAUUCAGGUUGAAUGACAAGGGAAACACGGCCAACAGGUGGGAAGUCCUCUAUACAGGAAUCAAUCGGAGGAUAGUGGUGCUUAACAGCAUAAACACAGAUAUCACGAUCUCUUGCCAUUGUAACAGCCACUUGAAAGGGAGUCUCUGUUUGUGUACAACAAGCCUUGGCAUCAGCUGCUGAAUUCGGUGACACCUCGACAUUAUCCGUGCUUGUAGUGUUCUCAAAACUGCCAUUGUUUUGCAAUAUAUGAGUAAUUGGUAUCCAUCCGUAUGGAUCGCAUUCCAAAUACAUAUAAAUGGCAGCCACAUAGAUUUAGUUUAAUUCAGCAGAAAAAGGAUAUUCUACCGUUUACUCUGUUUUCUCCUUGAACGGCAACGCAGCACCUGUAAACAACGCUAUAUUAGCACAUAGAACUCACGACAAAAUCAAAAGUCAAUACCAGAAGAAAAAAAACUGCUCUUUCUGAUAUUUAUUAUGAUAACAGUCGCGAUAAAACACAAAAAGAAAGCGAUAAUGAAACAAAGCUAUCACCUUGAAAAUACCUCCCUCUACUUUAAUAUCACUACAGUUUCCUUUUAUACUAUCAGGCUAUGCUAAGAUCAUUCUUCUAUCAUUGAAAUAACAAAAACACCAAAAAAAAAGUUGCUGUUCAGUUUCAUCAUUCCUUUUAUCGAAGCUUCAGCUUUCAACUUCUUUAGUAACAUCUUUUGUAGUCUAUUCCGAUGAUAACGGAGCAGCAGAUCAGAUUGAAGAGAACUAAUGUUUUGAAUGAAUGAAACAUCAUCUACGAAAAAAAAAAAAAAAAGAAGUAGAUUUCCCGAAAGACUGAUCAAAUAUAUGGAAUAACUUGUCUUGAAUGGGAAUAUUCUUUGAUAAUAAUUAUAAUAAUAAUAACAACAAAAGCGAUUGCAUUCCACCUAGUUAUUCUAGCAUCCAAAGAAGCGUUUAAUAUAAAAAUAAAAUAAAAUAAAAAGAAGCAAAAUUAGGCCCAGUAAAUCAGUUCUUCUAGUGAGCUUUGAUGCUUCGCAGUUAUCUCAAACUUAAAAAAUAACUCUUCACAGAAGCUCUUUUGUUCAUACAUCAUCCUAGCAAAAUUUGGGGUAAUCCAAAACCAAUUUCUAAUUCUAAUUUCUAAAUAAUCCUAAGCAGAGCUCAACUGAUAGUUGACUAAUUUAGGAAUAUGCUCUAAAAUCGCCCUCCCAAAACAAAAAACAAAAAAAAAAAAGAGAGACUCUAAUGAGAUCAUAAGAAAAUGAAAGAUUACCUUACUGUUGAACACCAUUUAAAUUCCCACUUCAACUUCUCCUUAUAUUUGGACCAAAUAUAUGAGUGGAAAAUUGAAAGAGGAAAGAAGGGUUGGGUUAGUAGAUGAUCAUGGAUAAAAGUUUGAGAGAUGUUGAUCAGUUUUGUAAAAGGAAAGGGCGGAUGUAAAGAAGGGAUAAGGAGGCGGUGUUUGUUUUAAGGGCGAAGACGACGACGACAACGCCGCCGCAAAGUCGGCCCAGAUGUGCUGCACAUGACGAUGGAUUUUAUGAAGUGGGCCGUCCUGCGUGGCCAGGGUUGCGUCGAAUGGACGGACAAAAUUUGAGUGUGGAGCCUCCCAGUCUCGGCGCAUUCAGCUGCUAUUAUUAUAUAGUUAGCCUGUGUUAUUGACUUUAUUUAUAAAUAAAUUUAACUGAAAAUAUGAAUUAAUUAGGGUUGAAACUUUGAGGCCUCGGAUGUCAACCACCAAAUCCUUUGUCGCUUGCGCUAUGGACGGUCGAUUCAGCCUAUUAUAUUCUUAUAUGCGCAACCGACUUGGUAUUUAUAAAUUAGUUUUAAUAAUAAAAUUUUUAAAUCCACGAUUCAUAUUAUUAAGACUUCGUUUAGAAUUGCGUAGAUAUUAUAUUACAUGUUGUGAGAAAGUAGAUGAAAAAAUAUUCGUUUGUUUUCGUACAUAAUAUUACAUUCCACAUAUCCUGAUGAGUAAAACAAAAGCAUAAUCCUGUAUGCUUUUAUCUCAAUUUUAUUUUAUUUAAUAACAUCAAAUAGACCUCGGUACCAAACUAAGCAUCAAUAUGAGUUAGAGCAUUUGAAACUUAUAGAAAUUAAAUUUUAUAAUUUUUUUGAUAUUAUUUACUUUAUGAUCAAACGAUUUGAAAAUUGAUAAAUAAUCCGAUCCUCUAAAAACAUUGGUCAAUUUUGACUGUUUAUUUUAUACCAGCUUGAUAAACUUUAUUAUAAUUUCGAAAUUUUGUUUUCUAUAAGUUUCAAAUGCUCUAUAUCAUAUUUGUGAAUAUGGAUUGUCGAUUCGAAUUUUUUUUUUUUUUAGAAAAAGAUAGCAUGCUAUCCGCUUUGUUUAUCUUUUUUAAAAAUAAAUUUAGCUGGAAAUGUAAAUCAACUAGAAUUCAAACUUAGAUCUUGGGUACCAACCAUCAAGUUCUUUGCCACUUGCGCUGGAACAGUGAGUGAAAAUUUUAUUAUUGAAAACAACAAUGAUAAAGGCUUCUAUAUACAUAAGAGUAUGUAACCUUAUUUAUAUUAAUUUUAUCUCUAUCUAAAAGUUUAGUAAAUAUUUUUUAUACUAAAUUUUUAAAAAAAAUUAAAUUUUUAAAAAAUAUUAUAAUAUUUGAAUAGAGAUAAAAAAGGGCCGAUAAAAAAAGGGUAUCUAGUGAAACUUUUUUUUUUUUUAACCCAAAAGCACUGGGCUUCGGUGUUGCUCCCUCGUGCUUGUUUCAGUAUCGGGGUGUUAAACGGGCCCACGUCACGCCAGCGCAUGGUCCCUUUAAUUGUUUAUAAUAAUUUUUUUAUUUUAAUAUUAAUUAAAGUUAUCCAAAUUUUGAAUAAUUAUUCUUUUUCAAACUUAUUCAGUCAUUAGAUAACUACAUAUAUAAUAUAAAAUUAUUAAAUAAUUAAAAAAUUAAAAUGAUUUUUUGAAAAAAAAUAUUUGUGCCGGUCCCCCGGAUUUGAAAAAAACGACAAAACACAAUACAAUAAAAAUCAGUGUCAUACUAAGCAAACCUCCAAAUAUGUUUGGCACAAAUGAAUAUACGCCAUGUCCGCCUCCUAUGCUUAUAUUUUUGGAGGUAGUCAUAAGAUGAAUCAUGAACGCACACGUGGAUGGAUAAAAUCUUUACAAGAGUAUUGAUUUUGUUUUCUCGGAUGUUGUUUUUACAAAUAGUUAAUAUCUCACAAAAACGAGGAUAUUUUGUUUUCUAGGAUGUUGCUUUUAUUCAACUCAAACUCCUUUGUAUGCACCCUCAAUGCACAGUUGGCACACUUAGUUCUCAAAUAUGUUGAGAAAUAGAGUAAUUUAAGGCCAUAGAAAGAGUAAAAGAUACAGCAAUUUGGCCCCAUAACGAUCCUCUAAUCACAUUAUCAAAUUACAGAACAACAAUAUGUUUGCAGUCCAACGGGCAUUCAAGGGUGUAUAGUUACUAUUAAAGCAAAAGGUAAUGAAGCUACGCAGAAAACAAAUACUGAGUAUUAGCUUCUGAGAUUGUAACGAAAGAUUUCGCCACUUCACCUUCGAAAUACUGAGUAUUAGCUUCUGAGAUUGUAACGAAAGAUUUCGCCACUUCACCUUCGAUGGAGCCAAACAUAAAAGGUACACAGUUCUGCAGUUUCCUCCACCAAAUUACACAAUGUUGUUCAUGUCCUUCAUCUUGUUGAUUAGCUCGUAAGAACUGUGUCACUAAUCACCCAUAUGAACAGACCUAUUUGACUUAUUCUUGUUUUCCCCAGCAUUAGUUAUGAAUAUUCAAGCUAUUACAUGUCAACCUUGCACGACUUUCCUCCAUUCAAACUUCCACAUCAACUUCCUUUUCAUCUGACCCGACAACGAGAUCGGAUGCUGUGUCCUUUUGAUCACUACCAUUCAAAAGAAGAUGUGCACUCUCAUCGCUUAACUGCUGCUUUUGAACAGGCGAGUCUGGUUCUCUGAUAGCAAUCGCAGCUUCUUGCUUCAGCAGUUCCGGUGGCUGAGGAGGCUUCCAGCUUCUGUUAAGCCGCUCAAGGGAUCCCGUUGCAGAAGGUAACCACUUUGGUUCCGCUACUUGAGGUUCGGCCUCUGUACCAUUUUCGGCCUUAUGUCUCCGCCAUGGCUCUGAAUUGUCAAAUGACCCAGUAAUCGGAAUUGAUCUAUUUCCUCGAGCCUCAAAAUUCAAUCCUUGGCCAUUGAAUUGGGGUUUAGGAACAUAACUAGAGUUUGAUUGCUGUUGCUGCAUGACUUCCCACGGCUGUAUUACCAACAAAGUUAACAAGUAAUCAGCACUUUAAUUUUGGCAUGCGCAAGAAUGUAACCUGACUCACUAGUUUUCCUUUGUACUAAUAUUUGGAUAGAAUUUUUGUAAACAGGUACAGCUCAAAUAUACAAUUACUUGCUUAUAUGCCCAAUUAUUGUUAUAGUUUCCAUCUAUGUCAUGUGAAAUAUUCUGUGCAAUAAAACAAAAAUAUUCUGAGCAAUAGAACAAAUACUGUUCAUGUUACGAGGCAAACCGAUUGCUAUAAUAAUGAAGCUUCUUUGCAAAAGUAUCUACAAAAUGCUGCGCAUGUGACAUCUUAACAAGGGGCAUUUAACUCAAGUCGCAUUUUAGAGGAGUAAACGCACGCACAUGUUUUGAGGUGGUAUUUGUGCAAAAAAUCAUAGAUUGCACCUAGAUCAAGAUUUGACUGCAUUGUUGUGUACAAUUUGCUUUUAAUUAUGGAAAUGAAAAAUGACUGUUAUAUAUGUAGGCUCAUUUGAAAGGAAGAAUUCUGAAAUAUCCAUUUAGUCUGCAAAAACCAUUUGUUAGUUAACCUAAAUAAGCAAGCAUGACUAACACUGCAAGAUUUCGACCAAUGCAUGCCUCACUUACAAUAAUAUGUCAACUUAAAUAUUAACCACCAAUCUUGAUCCAUUCUUUAUGAAUUCUCCUUAAAAAUCCAUGUAUUACCAGCAAAAUUUUGUUGAACAUUUGGACAACACAAGUAAAAAAAAAAAAAAAACAUUAUGUUUUGAAUAAGAUUUUCUACAUGCAAACAAAAAGGAAACUACUCAGAGAAAGCAUUUGAAGUCCAUACCUUUGGUCUAGGAGCGAGAAGAGGUUUUGGUAUUGGCUGAUCGGGAUUAGGGGGCAUGUCAUUAAUUUCCUGUUCAUCAAGUUAAAGGAUUAGAGAGGGGGAUGGGGGGGGGGGACUAGGUGAAACCAAAAUCAUAAACAAUGAAAAGUAGUGUUUAACCCCUAGUUAAAUAGCCCACCUUAAUAUUAGGUGGUUUCUCCCCUCUUUGAACCAUUUCUAUGAUCUGCAUGUUAGAGUCUGAUAAUUAGUAUUUACAAGAGAAUGAAAAGCACUAUCUAAAAGCUUUGCAUGGGUUCCCCUUCACAAUGACGGUAUUUAGACAAGAACGGAAAUAAGCUAAUUAAGAGAGAAACUUACCUCCAUAUAUGACUUUGGGUGCGGUGGAUCGAUAGAUGCAAGCGAAGAUGAAGGCCUCACUGUGUAAAAGAAUUUGUGGGAAGAAAAAUAAAAUUUAAUACAGCAUCAGUUAAAUAAGCACUAGAUUUAGAAUGUAACCUGAAUGAGAGUCCGUCUUAUUUGUGUUAUUUAUGCCAUUUACUUUCUCUUGCUGCUAGAAAGAAAAAUUGAACCAGUGUAAAACUUGCUCAGUACUAAUAUAAGAGUUACAGACAAAAGAGACACAGACACAUAAAUCAUAAUGCAACAGGAAAAAGAGUUAUUUACCUUGUUAAAUGAAAUGCUUAAAUUCGAUUGACUGGCCUCAGAUAUUCCCUGAGAACUAUUAGUUGUCCCUGCAAAUGCAAAGAAGUUCCUUUUAAAGCUUAAAUAUGGAAUAAAAUAAGUAUGUAGUUGUACUGAUUGGCAUUGAUAGUUUGCUUUCUGCAUCCCUUGCUUCUUCGAAAAAAGAAAAAAUAAAUAAAAAUAAAAAAGUAUAAUAUUAGAUAUGGUUUAUGAACAGUGAUACACAUGAAAAAUUGAUAUUUACAUAAGGUAUUAUUUGCCUAACACACAGGAAACAUAAAUAUUUAUGUUAAUUUUUACACACUAAUUUGUUGAUGUGUUCAAACAGUAUUUAGUUUGUCUGUAUCAAUAGAUACUUAAAGCAUUUGUCAUCUCUUUAUCAACAGAUACUGAAAGCAUUUACCAACUACUAGUACACUAAGGGUGUGUUUGGUUUGAUGUAAAAAUAGGUUGAAUAUAUUUUUUUCGGUCCGAAAAUAGUUUUUGGAUCGUUUGGUUCGAUAUAAAAAAAAUUUCGGCAAAAAACACUCUUACAUAUUUUGGGAAAAAGUCCUAUUUUCGUUUUCCACAUGAAAGCGGCAGAAAACAAAAAUGAAGGAGGCAAAAUUACGCGGCUCAUGGCAAUAGUCUUGUGGGGUCCACGAGCUGAAAUGGCCUCGUGGACCGCGUGAGAGGGAGGUCCAAGGAGGACCUCUCUCUCUAUGUAUAUGUACAUAUACAUAUACAUAUGUACAUGUAUAAUUUUAUUUAUAAAUAUAUAUUUAUUUAUUAUAUAUACAGAGUAUUUUAUUUUUUUAUAGAGAUAUUAUUAUAUAUUAUUUUAUUUUUAAAUAUAUAAUGAUUUAUUAAUACCCUUAAAUAUAUAACUAGUAUAUAUUAUAUUAUAUGCUUAUUAUAUAAUAUAAUUGUAAAUAUAUUUAAUUUACAAACAUAAAUUAUAAUAUAUAUAUAUAGUAAUUGUUAUAUAUAAUUAAUCUAUAUAAUAAAACAUUAUAUUAAAUAGUUUUUUAUCCAUUUUCCUUCUUCUUUCGUUUCUUUUCAAUCAAACAACCGUUAUGAAAAACUAUUUUUCUUUUCCUACAAACCUAACACUAAAGAGCGUAAAAUUUGUUUUCCUCCGAAAAAAUUUUUUCCACCGAAAUUUUUUUCACAGUUUUACGU
rnacentral:lncRNA from 1 species